UGAUCUGUGGGUUAGUUGAUAAAAUCGCCGGUCUGGCGAACACGGAGUCGUGGAUUCGAAUCCCACCAGAACGC
rnacentral:tRNA from 1 species